rnacentral:rRNA from 1 species
UGGACACACCUGUACCCAUACCGAACACAGAAGUUAAGCAUCUUAACGCCGAUGGUACUUGGUUGGAAACGACCUGGGAGAGUAGGAAGUUGCCAGGC